CAUAAGUAGAACAGGAGCAUAAUAAUUUGGUAUGAUUGGGCAGUGCCAUUCAGUAGAGGGAUUCUGCAAAGAUGUAAGUCCUGAUUCAGUGGCCCUUGGGCAGUGAUGGAUUCCCCAGCACGACUGCGGAUCUCAUUGGGCCGGCGUUCCUACUCUUGACGGUCUCCUGAAUUUUGAUACGGUGCGCUCCUGAGGGAAUCUCCAGGACUUUAUGGUACCCCACAGAAAGCGCAAAGCGUGAGAACGUUCCACUGACCAGCUCACAGGAGGAGCCAUUGCCUGCACACACUCCACAGACAUCAGGCCUUGAGCCAACACACUCCUGGAAAGAUACACACAGACAGAUCACAUCCUCUACUCACUUCCACCUCCUCCAUCAUAUCCACAUUGGAUAGGAAGAUCCUUUCAAUUGGCACUUAGUCACUUCACACUUACUACCUCAACCUCCCUCCACUGCCUUCAAUGCACAUCUGGCUGUCUAUCUACAGUAUGUCAUAUUUAUGUUAUCUAUCUAUGUCAUGUUCUAUGUCAUGUUUAUGUUGUUUGUCAUGUUUUUAGUCCAAAACACUGUGGUGUCUAUUUUGCACCUUAUGUAUAAACCACACUAUAUGUGUUUACAUGUAUGCACAUGUCUACUAUUGUCUGCACCGCCCAAGAACGCUAUUUCAAUCUUGCUGUAUAUGGGACAGGCUGACAAUAAAAUGUCUGACAAUAAAAGGUUUCUGCUUAAAGAUAUGCUGUAGAU